GUCUAUGGCCAUGCCACCCUGAACAAGCCCGAUCCUGUCUGAUCUAGGAAGCUAAGCAGAGUCGGGCCUGGUUAGUAUUUGGAUGGGAGACCACCUAGGAAGACCAGGUGCUGUAGGCA
rnacentral:rRNA from 1 species